UGUAAUCAACAUGCUGUUGAGAUUGAUUUAGCACGAACUGCUGCAGGUCUUGCUAAACAGAACAGUGAAGAUAUACUUCAGCAUUUUGAAGGCACGUCAGAACAGGAAUUGCAGAAAUUAGAGCAGUGGAUUCCUCAGCUGUUACUCUGCAAAAGUUUAGAUGUGAUCAUUCAGGCAAGGCAACAGAGAUUCAGGGACAAGAAAAGAAUACUUUUCAGCAGCCUUACCCGCUUGGAACAGCACCAGUGGAUUUCCGUUUCCCAACUACAAAUCAACCGAGACAUUGCUUUACCUGUUAUGUCCAGUAC